UGGAAGCUUACCUGGAAGAGCUGGGCACCGCGCCGUGUCCAUUUCUUUCACUGGUUGGCUAGCCAGGACCGGUGUUGGACGGCGGAUAGACUCGCCCGUCGCGGCCUACAGCACCAUCCACGAUGCGUCCUUUGUGAUCAGGCCCCAGAGUCGAUGUGGCACCUGCUCCUAGAAUGCCCGUUUACGCGGCAGGUCUGGCACGACGUGCUGGCUUGGGCGAGGAUACCUUCUCAACCACCAAGCAACGAGCCCACCCUCACGGACUGGUGGCAACGAACGAAAGGGCAGACCCCACACGCGCUACGGAAAGGCCUGCAAUCCAUCGCCAUGCUCGUCCCUUGGAUGAUUUGGAAACAACGCAACGAGUGCGUCUUCGAGAACGCGCGCCCCUCGGUUACCGCACUCAUAGAUAGGAUUAAGGCUGAAGCCAAAUGUUGG
rnacentral:rRNA from 1 species